GGUGAGUAACACGUGGGCAACCUGCCCUGCAGACUGGGAUAACUUCGGGAAACCGGAGCUAAUACCGGAUAACACCGAAAACCGCAUGGUUUUCGGUUGAAAGGCGGCUUUUAGCUGUCACUGCAGGAUGGGCCCGCGGCGCAUUAGCUAGUUGGUGAGGUAACGGCUCACCAAGGCGACGAUGCGUAGCCGACCUGAGAGGGUGACCGGCCACACUGGGACUGAGACACGGCCCAGACUCCUACGGGAGGCAGCAGUAGGGAAUCUUCCGCAAUGGACGAAAGUCUGACGGAGCAACGCCGCGUGAGCGAAGAAGGUCUUCGGAUCGUAAAGCUCUGUUGUCAGGGAAGAACAAGUGCCGUUCGAACAGGGCGGUACCUUGACGGUACCUGACGAGGAAGCCACGGCUAACUACGUGCCAGCAGCCGCGGUAAUACGUAGGUGGCAAGCGUUGUCCGGAAUUAUUGGGCGUAAAGCGCGCGCAGGCGGUUCCUUAAGUCUGAUGUGAAAUCUCGCGGCUCANCCGCGAGCGGCCAUUGGAAACUGGGGAACUUGAGUGCAGGAGAGGGGAGCGGAAUUCCACGUGUAGCGGUGAAAUGCGUANAGAUGUGGAGGAACACCAGUGGCGAAGGCGGCUCUCUGGCCUGUAACUGACGCUGAGGCGCGAAAGCGUGGGGAGCGAACAGGAUUAGAUANNNUGGUAGUCCACGCC
rnacentral:rRNA from 1 species